UUUCUCAUUAACACUCUCUUGGAGCUUGCUUCUGCACUUGAGGCCUCUAUUCCUGAGUUCUAAUCCUUCUUCCAAACAUAAAUACUUGCUAUGUUUAGCUGGAGCUAAUGUAUGAGGUUGAUCAGGAUACACUUAGGCGGACAUCGACCUUAGUGACUUAAAAUGCUGCAAGACAAGUUUAAUUUACGUUUUGUUUUAUGUUUGAACAAAGACAAU
rnacentral:lncRNA from 1 species